rnacentral:rRNA from 1 species
AUGGGCGAAGGCCUGAACCAGCCAAGUAGCGUGCAGGAUGACGGCCUAUGGGUUGUAAACUGCUUUUAUGCGGGGAUAAAGUUGGCCACGUGUGGCCAUUUGCAGGUACCGCAUGAAUAAGGACCGGCUAAUUCCGUGCCAGCAGCCGCGGUAAUACGGAAGGUCCGGGCGUUAUCCGGAUUUAUUGGGUUUAAAGGGAGCGUGGGCCGCGCCUUAAGCGUGUUGUGAAAUGCGGGUGCUCAACAUCCGACUUGCAGCGCGAACUGGGGUGCUUGAGUGCGCCGAAAGUAGGCGGAAUUCGUGGUGUAGCGGUGAAAUGCUUAGAUAUCACGAAGAACUCCGAUUGCGAAGGCAGCUUACUGUAGCGCAACUGACGCUGAUGCUCGAGAGCGUGGGUAUCGAACAGGAUUAGAUACCCUGGUAGUCCACGCGGUAAACGAUGGAUGCUCGUUGUCGGCCUCGGGUCGGUGACCAGCGAAAGCGUUAAGCAUCCACCUGGGGAGUACGC